rnacentral:snoRNA from 1 species
AUAACAAUUUGUGAUGCUUUAGGGAGCCUAUUGUUUGAUGGUUUAUAGGAGCCAGAUUUGUCCUUUUUGACUAAUUUUCAACCUAUUCUUACUUCCAAAACUGUUGCAAUGGCUCUCGUUUUUGUUAAAUUUUUCUCUUUUCUCUUCUUUGGCAUAGUUUAUUUUUAAUAAAUUAUUUCAGGGUGAGAUAGAGAAAGAAUAAUGAGUAUCGUAGAUAAAUCUUCGGUUCCGAAUAGUGUAACUGUUGGUGCUGAGGUAAUCCAUCUUUAAAACCAUCGCCGUUAGAGGUUGCUUCUGAUAUUUUCGGUUAAGCGACCCAUGAAAUGGUGAUGACCUGAGGUAUGGAACAUCU